rnacentral:lncRNA from 1 species
UGGCAAUGAUUUGAAUGAUUUAUCCGCGCUUCUGAGAGAAAACAAUGAAGUAAAGGAUUUAAAAUGGUUGAAUUUCUUAAUAUGAGCCGAUUCUUUUAUUAUUUCUAUUUUUUGAUGAUUAGAUUAAAUAGCAGUGAUGAUUGAAUACACAGCUUUAAGCCAGUUCUGCUUCAGAAAAUUCUUGAUUGAUAGAGCUGUUAUUUACCCUGAGCUAUUA